GGGCGAUUAGCUCAGCUGGUUAGAGCGCCUGCCUUACAAGCAGGAGGUCACUGGUUCGAAUCCAGUAUCGCCCA
rnacentral:tRNA from 1 species